rnacentral:rRNA from 1 species
AACCUCCGCAAUGCGAGCAAUCGCGACGGGGGGACCCCAAGUGCCACUCUUAACGGGGUGGCUUUUAUGAAGUGUAAAAAGCUUCAAGAAUAAGGGCUGGGCAAGACCGGUGCCAGCCGCCGCGGUAACACCGGCAGCUCAAGUGGUGAUCGUUAUUAUUGGGUUUAAAACGUCCGUAGCUGGUCUAGUAAAUUCCUGGGUAAAUCGAAUUGCUUAACAAUUCGAAUUCCGGGUAGACUGCUAGACUUGGGACCGGAAGAGGUCAGAAGUACUU